UACGUAGGGUCCGAGCGUUGUCCGGAAUUAUUGGGCGUAAAGGGCUCGUAGGCGGUUCGUCACGUCGGGAGUGAAAACUCGGAGCUUAACUCCGAGCCUGCUUCCGAUACGGGCAGACUAGAGGUAGGCAGGGGAGAGCGGAACUCCUGGUGUAGCGGUGGAAUGCGUAGAUAUCGGGAGGAACAUCAGUGGCGCAAGCGGCGCCCUGGCCUUAGCCUGACGCUCAGGGGCGAAAGCGUGGGGAGCGAACGGG
rnacentral:rRNA from 1 species